UACGUAGGCAGCGAGCGUUGUUCGGAGUUACUGGGCGUAAAGGGUGUGUAGGCGGUUGUUUAAGUUUGGUGUGAAAUCUCCCGGCUCAACUGGGAGGGUGCGCCGAAUACUGAAUGACUUGGAGUGCGGGAGAGGAAAGUGGAAUUCCUGGUGUAGCGGUGAAAUGCGUAGAUAUCAGGUGGAACACCGGUGGUGUAGACGGCUUUCUGGACCGUAACUGACGCUGAGACACGAAAGCGUGGGUAGCAAACAGG
rnacentral:rRNA from 1 species